AAAGGGACUUCUGGCGAUCAAUGCUGAAAGGUCGAUGUAUUAGACUAGUGAAUCGGGAUUAUAAUGAAGUAGUUGUGAUUACUCUUGACUGUUUUGUGAAAUCGAAGUUACAUCUGUGAUUAAAGAAUUAAAAGGGUGUCUAUAGGAUUGAGUAUGCGGAGUGAAUGAAAAUUUUUGGGUUAAUCUAACAAGAUAGUUAGUGGAUACAAGGUCGUGAGUAUAAAAUGGUACUCGAGAUUAGCAGAUUGGAUUGCUCGUGGUUCUCUGUAACGUCUAGAGACCAACCGGCUGUCAAGGACAAGAACUCGAUGAAAAAACAAUUUAGACAAGUGAUCCUUGACUCAAAGAUAGGUA
rnacentral:lncRNA from 1 species